GGACUUCACAGUGUGACCCCAGAGCAAUCCCAGGCAUUGCCAAGAUAAAGAAGAUCUCAGAUAACUUCUCCAGCAGGAGGAGUGCACAUGACCCUGACACAUGAUCUGGUCUCGUCAAGAUACCCCAAGCACUACACAGCUGCCGGUGUCAACACAUUGCCCAGGACAACAGUGCUUGCCUAAAAGGAGCAGCAAAUAUUUUGCUGUCCACACUUUGUCUACAAAACCCAUACCAAGAAGGGCUCAUGGACAAUUUCUGGCAGGCUGGCAAGAGGUGGAGACAGUUUAUGGAGGAGGAGAUCAGCUCAAAGCCACCCAGCUCCCACCCAGGUGCUUCAGCAGGAGCA
ensembl:lncRNA